rnacentral:misc_RNA from 1 species
GUUCUUGGUUCCCUGCUAUUCCCAUUUCUCUUUCUUUCUCUUAAGAUUCAUCUCUUUGCAAAUUCUUUUUUUUCAUGUUUUUCUUUAAGUUUACAUGACCCAUUUCACUAAAUCUAUCAAAGAUUCAAUCUUUAAUACAAUGGAUCAUAUACAAUUAACAUUUCUUGCAAUAAUUUGUCUGUCAGCAAUUUUCAAGAUUGUCCCUCUUUGUUCAUCAUACCCUACUCCAUCAAACUGUACGGACACUGGUCGCUUGUGCACUUCCUUCUUGGCUUUUAAACCUAGCCCGGAACAGACCCUCCCCGUGAUUCAAAGCAUGUUUGAUGUGUUACCUAAUGACAUAACUGUUGAAGGAAAUGGUAAAGGUUAUGUCUUUAUCAGAAAGAACUGUUCUUGUGCUUAUGGGAUGAGAAAGUACUUGACAAACACUACAUUUACUGUCAGAAAGAACAAUGGAUCUGUCUAUAAUAUGGUUGUUGAUGCCUAUGAUGGUUUGGCUUAUUUUCCAACUAAUUUU